UAACGACUCUCGGCAACGGAUAUCUCGGCUCUCGCAUCGAUGAAGAACGUAGCGAACUGCGAUACUUGGUGUGAAUUGCAGAAUCCCGUGAACCAUCGAGUCUUUGAACGCAAGUUGCGCCCGAGUCCAUUUGGAUGAGGGCACGUUUGCCUGGGUGUCA
rnacentral:rRNA from 1 species